GCNUACCAAGGCAUUGAUCAGUAGCCGGCCUGAGAGGGCACACGGCCACACUGGCANUGAAACACGGGCCAGACUCCUACGGGAGGCAGCAGUGGGGAAUCUUGCACAAUGGGGGAAACCCUGAUGCAGCGACGCCGCGUGAGCGAUGAAGCCCUUCGGGGUGUAAAGCUCUUUCGGCAGGGACGAUAAUGACGGUACCUGAAGAAGAAGCUGCGGCUAACUACGUGCCAGCAGCCGCGGUAAUACGUAGGCAGCGAGCGUUGUUCGGAGUUACUGGGCGUAAAGCGUGCGUAGGCGGUGGUCCAAGUCUGGUGUGAAAUCUCCCGGCUUAACUGGGAGGGUGCGCCGGAAACUGGGCCGCUGGAGUACGGGAGAGGCAAGCGGAAUUCCUGGUGUAGCGGUGAAAUGCG
rnacentral:rRNA from 1 species